UGAGGAAUAUUGGGUCAAUGGACGGGAGUCUGAACCAGCCAAGUAGCGUGCAGGAUGACGGCCCUAUGGGUUGUAAACUGCUUUUAUAGGGGGAUAAAGUGUGCCACGUGUGGCAUAUUGCAUGUACCUUAUGAAUAAGGACCGGCUAAUUCCGUGCCAGCAGCCGCGGUAAUACGGAAGGUCCGGGCGUUAUCCGGAUUUAUUGGGUUUAAAGGGAGCGUAGGCCGGAGAUUAAGCGUGUUGUGAAAUGUAGUGGCUCAACCUCUGCACUGCAGCGCGAACUGGUCUUCUUGAGUACGCACAACGUGGGCGGAAUUCGUGGUGUAGCGGUGAAAUGCUUAGAUAUCACGAAGAACUCCGAUUGCGAAGGCAGCUCACGGGAGCGCAACUG
rnacentral:rRNA from 1 species